rnacentral:rRNA from 1 species
CCUACGGGCGGCUGCAGUGGGGAAUAUUGGACAAUGGGGGGAACCCUGAUCCAGCCAUGUCGCGUGUGUGAAGAAGGCCCUCGGGUUGUAAAGCACUUUCAGUGAGGAAGAACGCCUGGUGGUUAAUACCCAUCAGGAAAGACAUCACUCACAGAAGAAGCACCGGCUAACUCCGUGCCAGCAGCCGCGGUAAUACGGAGGGUGCGAGCGUUAAUCGGAAUUACUGGGCGUAAAGCGCGCGUAGGUGGCUUGAUAAGCCGGUUGUGAAAGCCCCGGGCUCAACCUGGGAACGGCAUCCGGAACUGUCAAGCUAGAGUGCAGGAGAGGAAGGUAGAAUUCCCGGUGUAGCGGUGAAAUGCGUAGAGAUCGGGAGGAAUACCAGUGGCGAAGGCGGCCUUCUGGACUGACACUGACACUGAGGUGCGAAAGCGUGGGUAGCAAACAGGAUUAGAUACCCUAGUAGUC